ACCUCGGUCAGAAGGUUUGGAGUUGGCUCCAAGAGAUGGUUUGAAACAUACAAGGUGGACACUGGGCCUGACCCAGACCGGCUCCUAUGGGCAUCUCUGGGGGGAGCUGAACGCCGGUGGUGGAAACGGAAGAGCGUUUGCCGGGGACCGGACUCCAUGCCUCUGCAGAGGACCUGCCAUGCUACACACUGUCCCCUGAGGCUCUGUGAACGCGUGCACCUCUGGUUUGCUAAGUCACUUCAGUUGUGUCCGACUCUGUGGGACCCCAUAGAUG
ensembl:lncRNA